AACCAUGUGUUUGCAGUUUGCAGAUCAGACGAUAAAUUUUCCAAAAGGAAUAGUGAGGAACCUUUGUGUCCGAGUUGGUACCUUGUAUGCCCCAGCAGACUUCGUAGUGGUUGAGACCGGAAAUGAUGAGAGAGCACCUAUCAUCCUAGGAAGGCCAUUUUUGAACACCACGGGAGCUAUCAUCUACGCCAGUGCUGCCAAGAUCAGUUUCUACGUCAAAGGGAAGAAGGAGACAUUUUUCUUCAAGAACAAGACUGCACAAAUUCCAGAUCAAUCCAGACGUGAAUCAAGGAAGAGGACCAACAGGAGAAACAGGAACAAGCAAGUGUGGACCGAGUCAGCUAAGAUGGUCACUGUAGUCCAUGGAGGCCAAGAUCACCAACUUAAGUCACCAUUUUUGACCAAGAAGGACGACCCAGGAAUGCCAAGCAUCUACUGCUCCAUAAAUGGAUAUAACUUCUACAAGACAAUUUGCGACACCUGAUCGGGCGUCAGCAUAAUGGCCGCAGUCACUUAUCGGCUCUUGUUCGGGACCAUGCCACUAAGACCAACAUACAUUCAGCUCCACAUGGCAGAUCAGACAUUUCGAGAAGUUCAAGGAAUAGUAUCUGAUGUCCCAGUCAAAAUAGACGAUCACCUUGUCUACACAGACUUUCAAGUUGUUGACAUGGGAGAAGACGAGUAUGAUCCACCCAUCAUCCUUGGAAGACCGUUCCUCAGCACCAUUAAAGCAAUUAUCUACAUUGGAACCGGAGAAGUCCAUAUGCACUUCCCCUCAGAGAAGGUACGCCGUUAUUUUACUGACCCUAACUAUAUCAUUGAAGAAUCUAAGCAGGUCAGAAAGUGACGCAACCGCAACCAGAGGAGGCAGAUCAUCAAGGACGGCUGGGCAGAUUAUGAAGGAGAAGUUGUAAGGUCAGAAGACGUAGAGUUUAAACAGAAUUAUCCAGAGGAGAUUGAAGCACCGAGUCAAGUAUGGAAAAUGAAGAUAACUAUACAUGAAGAGGAGGCGCUACCGGAAGUACCGACUUCGCCACCCAACGAACCUCAGGACGAUUAAGAAGUUGGAGAGUCCCGUUCGGAGGACUUAAAAACACCGAACGCCCUGCCAAGAGGUAAACUUGGUAGUUACCCUUUCCCUUUCAAUUAUUUCAAUUAUUUUAAAUAGUUUACUUAGUUAAUUAUGUUCGUGCUGUCCUAAAAAAAAUAAAAAUGUGAAAAACAGUAAGCCCCAUGUGAGUAGACGAGUGGCAUAAAACCCAUAAGUACAUUCACUGUGGUGGCAUAAAAAUAAAAUAAAUAUUUUUUCUGCUUUAUAAAAUAAAAAUAUAAAAACAGGGAGUAAUAUUUAAGGAGUCUCAAGAUAAUAAAGGCUAGAUAUUUAUGCUAACACUUAAUCAGUUCCACAAGCUUUGUUGCCUAUUUGAGCUCCACAGAAUUAAGAAUCAAGAAGACUGGCAGACGGAGGACAUUCUAAUCGCUGUCAGAAUACUGCUGACUUUCAAAUACACCUCUGCCACCUGCUAGCUACAUUAAGAGAAAUUAUGUCAAAAUUCAGCUUGGGGGAGAGCACCCCCAUUUACCUCGAUAAGUAUUUCUAUCUAUUUUUAUACUUAUAUUAUUUUAGAAUAUUAAAAUACACAUAAACUAUGGGAAAACUAAAUAAAGAUUUUAUGCUUAUAUAUGUCUUUUGCUUAGUGUGUUUAACAAAUAAAUAAAGUAGCUAUGCUAAUCUGUAUCUAAACAAAAACUUAAGCAUGGAUAUGAUGAAUAGUUGCUCUGCCUAAUUUGCACAUUCUAAGUUCUCUCUCAAGUUUAGAUAUAACUGUUAUAAUUUAAAGCUUGCCCUAGACCUGAACUUGUGGGAUGAAAACUUGAUCUGAAGUCUAUGUUGUUAACGGAUACGAUAUGGGAAGGUUGAGCUGCUGUUUAUCUGUUCCUAGAGAUGCUAGAAUUCUGGAGAAUUUUAUCUUUGAAAAUCUUUAAAAUAUUGCAUGAUGAGUUUCUAUAUGAUGAGAGCUUAAAUUCCUACCACAGCCAUAUAUACAUGCUUGCUAGACUUUGAGCCACACAUUUACUAUUUACUGCUUAUGAACAUUGAGUGUGAUCAAGCUGUGUAGACCCUUAGGAGCUUGUCAUGUGGUUAAAUCAAGAUUUCACUUGCACGUUCACUCAUAUAUGCUACUUCUACUUCCGAAGUACCAUCCACAUAUAUCCAUCCAUUUCCAUCUCCAGAACCACCUAAAAAUAUUCUACUCCUAAUCCGGGAGAGAAUAACCAAAAAUAUUUCUGUUUCCCCUUGUGAAAUAAAUGCUCAAGUUAUCUUGUUACUACCACUUGCUAUAUUAUCUCAAGAGAUGAGUGCUCUAAAAAAAGAAGAAAAUAAAAAAAUAUACGAGGAAAUAAAAAGGAGCAAGUGCUCGGAACCUCGAAAGAAAAGAAAGAGUGAGACGAGAGGUAAAAAUGGACAAGUGUCCGACAGUAGAAUUAGGGGUGCAAGAUACCCACAUGAGAGACAAGAAAAAGAAGAGCAUCUCAUUCUCCUCAUAAAGUUUCAAAAGCAAGGAAGGUAUGUAUUCCCUCAAAAGAGCAAAGUAGAAUUAGACUUCCACCACCAUUGUUUUCACCAUUGUUAUCACCAUCAUCACCAUACACCAUUCAUUCGCCACACAUGCACAUCUUGAUUUGGCUUAUUGAUUUGUUUCUUUGGAUCCAUGGUUUGACUAUGCAAUAAAUGUCUUGUGAGUAUGUAUACUUUAUCUCCCACCUAUGAGCUCCAAAUAUUAAAGCCUUAUUAGAGUAGGGUGAGAGAGAAGGCAAUGUCACUAUGCCUUAUACCACAAAUACUACAUAUCUUGAGAGAAGGCAUAUACCAUCAAUGCCUUGGUAAGGAUCCAAAAAUACCACAAAAGAGAGAUAUGAGAGAAUCAUACAAGGAAUCUCUGAGUUUUAUUUGAAAAUCUGCAAAAACCCCAGAGCUAUAGCUGAUCAAGAAUAAGAGACAUGGCACUUGGCUAGACUGUUCUAUCUUUUAACCACUCAAGACGGAAGUGACAGUUACAAGUCCCAUGGUGUAGGUAAAGUAAGUAAGUUUUAAGUCUUGACAGUUUACUCUAACUCAGAGAUGAGAUCUUAUUUAAAAAGCAUGUGUACCGUCAAUUUUUAAAGAUAUUGCAACUACUUAUGAUCCAUUGCUGAGUCUAUCCUUGCUCAGGGACGAGCAAGAGGUAAGCUUGGGGGAGUUUGUUGACGGUCCUUAAGUAUCAAAAUUUAAUUAUCAAAUAAAUAAAGAAAAGGAUCCAAAUGAAAUCAAGAUCCAGACUUAAGGUUUUAUCUGACAGAAUUCCAUGAGUUUUGGUGUUUGUCUAUUUCUGCAGGGGGUUAUCAGGAAAUAUGGAAGAAAGGCCCACAUGUCAGGAUUACGUAAAGGUAUUAACGUGCUGCGCAAUUAUCUUACAUCUAGAAGACUCCAGAAGCCACGAGACCGAAGCGGAGGCGAAUCGGGGCCAGAGACAGGGCGCCCGCCCUGUCCUACUGGGCGCCCGCCCUGCUCCCAAGUCCAAUCAGGACUCUGCUUUGCGGGAAGUCUCCACCGACCUAAAGGAUGAAUCUAAACCAUACAAUCUAUGUCGGUUUGAUCCAAGGGCCCAUAUUCACUUGAAGGGACUAUAAAACCAGACCCCCUGGCCCCUAGAGGAGAGAGCCUCUCAACCCUAAUUCAUUGUUCCAUCAAGGGAGAAGAAGCCUCUGAUCAAGAUUAGAGCCACCACAUCAAUUAGAUAUCUAGAUUAGCAUAGCUACAUAGGAUUAGAACUAGAAGGAGUCAAUCUUCGAUUGGUUUCCGGAUCUGUCAGGAGGAUUCUUUGUAAUUCUCUAAUUGUGCUUCUAAUUGCUUUCUAAUUAUCUUUGUUCUUCAAUAUUAUGAAUAUGACUUUGUUCUACUUCAAUAUAUUGCUUAUGACUUUGCUCUACUUGCUUAUAUUCAAGAUUAUAUUGUUCUUAGUUUAUCAUAGUUAUGUACUUGGCUUAGUUAGAUUCGAUCUAUAUACAUGCUUAGGAUCGUAUAGCGUUUGUCCAUCGGAUCCAAGGGUAAAUGAUAGAUAUUGUGUAGGCAUGGUGCUUAUACCGUAUUUAUCUGCGAUUGUACCCAAUAUGCCAGAUCGUGGGGUGGUUCGUGAUAGUGACAGCUUCAUUGAUUCUUAUAUAGUCCCCCUCUCAUGUAUUGGGCUGGCAGAGCAACAUUAUUACAGGGGAGUGAUUGCUAUGUUUCUCAUAUUCCUUGCUAAUAUCACUAUGCAUGGGCGUAGUCUUGUCUCGCAAUGAUUGCUAAGUAUGCUUGCACUAACUAUGAUAUGCUAGACUAUAUAGUUGAGAAUAACUUAGGGAAUAUUCUUGUAGUUCGUUCUAAUACCAUGCUAAUGACUUUCUAGAGUAUCUAAUUGAGGUGCUUAUCAUAUUUAUGAUGUGGCUAGAUCAGAUUAGUUAUCCUUGUCACUAUUAUUAUUUCAUAUAUCUUUUAUGUGACACUUAUCCCUGUAUGAAGAGUUAGAUAUAAUGUUCUCAAUUAUACGAGUGGCAUAAAACCCAUAAGUACAUUCACUGUGGUGGCAUAAAAAUAAAAUAAAUAUUUUUUUUGCUUUAUAAAAUAAAAAUAUAAAAACAGGGAGUAAUAUUUAAGGAGUCUCAAGAUAAUAAAGGCUAGAUAUUUAUGCUAACACUUAAUCAGUUCCACAAGCUUUGUUGCCUAUUUGAGCUCCACAGAAUUAAGAAUCAAGAAGACUGGCAGACGGAGGACAUUCUAAUCGCUGUCAGAAUACUGCUGACUUUCAAAUACACCUCUGCCACCUGCUAGCUACAUUAAGAGAAAUUAUGUCAAAAUUCAGCUUGGGGGAGAGCACCCCCAUUUACCUCGAUAAGUAUUUCUAUCUAUUUUUAUACUUAUAUUAUUUUAGAAUAUUAAAAUACACAUAAACUAUGGGAAAACUAAAUAAAGAUUUUAUGCUUAUAUAUGUCUUUUGCUUAGUGUGUUUAACAAAUAAAUAAACUAGCUAUGCUAAUCUGUAUCUAAACAAAAACUUAAGCAUGGAUAUGAUGAAUAGUUGCUCUGCCUAAUUUGCACAUUCUAAGUUCUCUCUCAAGUUUAGAUAUAACUGUUAUAAUUUAAAGCUUGCCCUAGACCUGAACUUGUGGGAUGAAAACUUGAUCUGAAGUCUAUGUUGUUAACGGAUACGAUAUGGGAAGGUUGAGCUGCUGUUUAUCUGUUCCUAGAGAUGCUAGAAUUCUGGAGAAUUUUAUCUUUGAAAAUCUUUAAAAUAUUGCAUGAUGAGUUUCUAUAUGAUGAGAGCUUAAAUUCCUACCACAGCCAUAUAUACAUGCUUGCUAGACUUUGAGCCACACAUUUACUAUUUACUGCUUAUGAACAUUGAGUGUGAUCAAGCUGUGUAGACCCUUAGGAGCUUGUCAUGUGGUUAAAUCAAGAUUUCACUUGCACGUUCACUCAUAUAUGCUACUUCUACUCCCGAAGUACCAUCCACAUAUAUCCAUCCAUUUCCAUCUCCAAAACCACCUAAAAAUAUUCUACUCCUAAUCCGGGAGAGAAUAACCAAAAAUAUUUCUGUUUCCCCUUGUGAAAUAAAUGCUCAAGUUAUCUUGUUACUACCACUUGCUAUAUUAUCUCAAGAGAUGAGUGCUCUAAAAAAAGAAGAAAAUAAAAAAAUAUACGAGGAAAUAAAAAGGAGCAAGUGCUCGGAACCUCGAAAGAAAAGAAAGAGUGAGACGAGAGGUAAAAAUGGACAAGUGUCCGACAGUAGAAUUAGGGGUGCAAGAUACCCACCUGAGAGACAAGAAAAAGAAGAGCAUCUCAUUCUCCUCAUAAAGUUUCAAAAGCAAGGAAGGUAUGUAUCCCCUCAAAAGAGCAAAGUAGAAUUAGACUUCCACCACCAUUGUUUUCACCAUUGUUAUCACCAUCAUCACCAUACACCAUUCAUUCGCCACACAUGCACAUCUUGAUUUGGCUUAUUGAUUUGUUUCUUUGGAUCCAUGGUUUGACUAUGCAAUAAAUGUCUUGUGAGUAUGUAUACUUUAUCUCCCACCUAUGAGCUCCAAAUAUUAAAGCCUUAUUAGAGUAGGGUGAGAGAGAAGGCAAUGUCACUAUGCCUUAUACCACAAAUACUACAUAUCUUGAGAGAAGGCAUAUACCAUCAAUGCCUUGGUAAGGAUCCAAAAAUACCACAAAAGAGAGAUAUGAGAGAAUCAUACAAGGAAUCUCUGAGUUUUAUUUGAAAAUCUGCAAAAACCCCAGAGCUAUAGCUGAUCAAGAAUAAGAGACAUGGCACUUGGCUAGACUGUUCUAUCUUUUAACCACUCAAGACGGAAGUGACAGUUACAAGUCCCAUGGUGUAGGUAAAGUAAGUAAGUUUUAAGUCUUGACAGUUUACUCUAACUCAGAGAUGAGAUCUUAUUUAAAAAGCAUGUGUACCGUCAAUUUUUAAAGAUAUUGCAACUACUUAUGAUCCAUUGCUGAGUCUAUCCUUGCUCAGGGACGAGCAAGAGGUAAGCUUGGGGGAGUUUGUUGACGGUCCUUAAGUAUCAAAAUUUAAUUAUCAAAUAAAUAAAGAAAAGGAUCCAAAUGAAAUCAAGAUCCAGACUUAAGGUUUUAUCUGACAGAAUUCCACGAGUUUUGGUGUUUGUCUAUUUCUGCUGGGGGUUAUCAGGAAAUAUGGAAGAAAGGCCCACAUGUCAGGAUUACGUAAAGGUAUUAACGUGCUGCGCAAUUAUCUUACAUCUAGAAGACUCCAGAAGCCACGAGACCGAAGCGGAGGCGAAUCGGGGCCAGAGACAGGGCGCCCGCCCUGUCCUACUAGGCGCCCGCCCUGCUCCCAAGUCCAAUCAGGACUCUGCUUUGCGGGAAGUCUCCACCGACCUAAAGGAUGAAUCUAAACCAUACAAUCUAUGUCGGUUUGAUCCAAGGGCCCAUAUUCACUUGAAGGGACUAUAAAACCAGACCCCCUGGCCCCUAGAGGAGAGAGCCUCUCAACCCUAAUUCAUUGUUCCAUCAAGGGAGAAGAAGCCUC
rnacentral:lncRNA from 1 species